GCCCCCCGGCCCGGGAUAGCCCAGGGAAACCUGGAUUAAUACCGGAUGAGACGGGACCCGCGAAAGGCGGGACCCGGGAAAGGCGCUGCGGCGCCGCCGGGGGGAUGAGUCUGCGUCCCAUUAGCUAGACGGCGGGGUAACGGCCCACCGUGGCGACGAUGGGUGGCCGGCCUGAGAGGGUGGACGGCCACAUUGGAACUGAGACACGGUCCAGACUCCUACGGGAGGCAGCAGCUAAGAAUCUUCCGCAAUGGGCGAAAGGCCUGACGGAGCCGACGCCGCGUGAACGAAGAAGGCCGUGAGGUUGUAAAGUUCUUUUCGGGAGGGGGAACAACCGUGGCAGGGAAUGGCCGCGGGAUGACGUGAAUCCCGGAAUAAGCCCCGGCUAACUACGUGCCAGCAGCCGC
rnacentral:rRNA from 1 species